rnacentral:rRNA from 1 species
AGCGCAGGCGGAAUGAUAAGUCUGAUGUGAAAGCCCACGGCUCAACCGUGGAACUGCAUCGGAAACUGUCAUUCUUGAGUGCAGAAGAGGAGAGUGGAAUUCCAUGUGUAGCGGUGGAAUGCGUAGAUAUAUGGAAGAACACCAGUGGCGAAGGCGGCUCUCUGGUCUGCAACUGCGCUGAGGCUCGAAAGCAUGGGUAGCGAACA